UCCGUAGGUGAAUCUGCGGAAGGAUCAUUAAUGAAUAACUAUGGUGUUGGUUGUUGCUGGCUUCUAGGAGCAUGUGCACGCCCACCAUUCUUAUCUCUCCACCUGUGCACAUUAUGUAGGUCUGGAUAACUCUCGCUCUCGGGCGGAUACAGGGAUUGUCGCUUGCGACUCUCCUUGAAUUUCCAGAUCUAUGUAUUUACAUACCCCAAUCGAAUGAUGAAGAAUGUAGUCAAUGGGCUUUAUGCCUAUAAAACAAAAUACAACUUUCAGCAACGGAUCUCUUGGCUCUCGCAUCGAUGAAGAACGCAGCGAAAUGCGAUAAGUAAUGUGAAUUGCAGAAUUCAGUGAAUCAUCGAAUCUUUGAACGCACCUUGCGCUCCUUGGUAUUCCGAGGAGCAUGCCUGUUUGAGUGUCAUUAAAUUCUCAACUUCAUCAUUUUUUGUUGAAGCUUGGACGUGGGGGUUGUGCAGAAUGCUUCGGUGAUCUGCUCCCCUUAAAUGAAUUAGCGAGUUCAACCUGAGCUCCGUCUAUUGGUGUGAUAAUUAUCUACGCCGUGGAUUGGACUUAGACUUGCUUCUAACCGUCUGCAAGGACAAUUCUUGACAAUUUGACCUCAAAUCAGGUAGGACUACCCGCUGAACUUAAGCAUAUCAAUAAGCGGAGGA
rnacentral:rRNA from 1 species